rnacentral:lncRNA from 1 species
AGUGCUGUGUAUGCAGCCAUAUAGUGAAUGCCUUCAUUUGCACCCUGAACUCUGAAUAGUCACUUUUAAAACAUCCAUCUGUCAUCCAUCUAGUGAGGUCAGGAGAGUGGCUGCUUAACUUCUGGGGGUUGCAGAAAAGGAAGAAGAAUCAGCAGAGAGCAUUUGUGGCCAGCAAAGCUUAAAAUAUUUCCUAACCGAUCCUUUGCAAAAAAAGUUCACCCACUCCUGUAGUCAGCAGCUCCCCUACUGUGCGCAGUCAGUGUGCCAUCUCAGACUAGCAAAGGUGAGUAAAACCAUCCCUGCCCCUAAUCAAUUUACAAUCUGCAUCCUCAGGGCAAGAGCCUAGUAAGCAAAAGGCAAAAUAAGAUGGCGCCAGAUAAGGGCUUCAAAGGAAGAGAGACCAGGUUUGGUGGGGAAAUAGGGGGUGGCUUCUUAGCAGGUUUUCUUUAGAUGAACCUUGAAGAUAAAAAGAGAUUUUGAUGAAUAAGGGUGGGUGAGAUGCAGAGGGGGUCAGCGCUGUGUCCUGGAACCAGUGAGUGAUUCCAUUUCAGAAGCACCCGGGGAGGCUAAAGGGUAGAUUCUAAGGCCAGAAAGAGAGGAGAAGGUCGUAGGCUGGAGACCAUGAUGAGGAGUGUAUACAGAGGGAGAGAGGAGAGAUUCCUGCACUUAGAGGCCAAAAGGACAACAAUUUGCACUUUUACUUUGGUGUCGGAAAGAACCGUAGUCUCAUAUGGUUACACGGAAGUGUUUUAUGAUAAUCAGUGAAAAAUGAGGAAAAUAGUCUCUCUUAGGCUGAGCACCUAGGAAAUGAGUGGCUCUUGGCUGUAAGUCAAUGAACAGCAUUAAUAUAUGCAGUUACCAAGUCAUCAUUAACACAUAAAGCACUGCAGGGUUUCAAUCGAUUCAUCAGAAUUCUUGAAAGUCCUAUUUUAAGGCAGUUCAAACAGAGGCGAGGCAGCUGAACCUGGUGAGGCUGCCAGGAACAGCGAGUUCUGCCUCUGAAUUUGCUCCUGACUCAGUGCCUGACCUUGGGCAAGCACUCAACGUCUCACUAUCUCAGUUUCCUCAGCCAUAAAAUGGGGAUAACAGACCUUAGCCACCUCAUAGGAGUGUCAUAAAUGUCUGCAAAAACCUUUCAAGGUAAGUGCUCCUGGAAACGGACAAGGUGGGGAGGGUUCUUUUUCAAUCGUCUAGGCGGGAAAAUGAGGUUAUCAAAAUUAAAAUAGGAGACUACUUUGUGAAACAGAAAUGAUUGUGGAUAAAUGAUGCAAAGCCGACAGAUGAUUAAAGGUACCCAUAGUCUACCAGUUAAAAUCUCUGUCAGGAUUUUCUAAAUUAACGUCAGGACAUCUUCUUUGUUGUUGUUUAAGGAUGGAAGAGAAUAUUAAAAAUCAGACAGGACCACCUUAGGGUAUGUGGUCUCACAUAUCUGUUCUAUUUGCUUUUUCGAAGCUUAGAAUAUUCUGCUCAAUUCUCUGGGUAUUACUCAGUUAUAAAGGUGCAGAGGGAUGCAUCUCCUUCUGCACUUUCUUUACUCUGUAGAUUUUCCUAAUCUGUCCUAGAGAGGGACUGUGGCAGGGUCUGCAGACAGAAGGGCUGCCUUGUAGCCAGCCAUCUUUGUAUGACCUCUGCCAUUGGCCGUUGGUGGCCGAGAAAGACACUGAAGUCUCUCGAGAAAGCUGAAGACCCAACCCUGAGAUGUACCCACACUGCACCUGGAGCAGACAAUUGGGCUAGAAGACAAGUUCUGCUCUGCUCUGGAAAGUUUGUCCAGAGAGGAAAGACAGGCCAAAAUAGUUCAGUAUGCUGUCUUACUGGGAGGACAACAGCUUAAGCCACAAAGCCCUGAGUUUGACCCUAGAACUCUGUGGCUACUGGUGACUCAUCUUGAAAAUUAUCAGAUUGAAUCUUCUCUACCGGUUUGAUAACAACUGAUGAGUGGAAAAAGAACGCCAAUCAAAUGUGCAUGCUUAAUAAGCAGCCUCCUUAUUCCCCUCUGCAGAUUUGUGCUUGGAUCAUCUACACUUCCCUGAAUGUUGAAGAAGAUAUGCUAUCCAUGCAAUCCUUGUCGACUGCUUGAUUAAAAAGUGGAUAAACUGUCUUCAGGCCCUUGGAGUAUGGUGUCUGUGUGAAGAAGGGAAUGAGGCAGAAGUAGCAGUCAGUGGUGGCUGAAGUAGGAGAAAGUGCUUGCUAAUGAAAUCUUGAUUUUUCUGUGGCUUUUCUGUGCAAUUGGGUGGCUAAGUAGGAAAGCCAUUGGAGCUUCACUGUAUCAAUUCUGCCUUUCUUGUUUUUUGGAACUCCAAUUCACCAAGGCUCCCUGCCACCCUAUCCAUCUAUAACUUUUCAUCACUUUUUCCUCAAAGUAAGAAGUGUGUCCCAGAAAAUGUGCCUUUGUGACUCAGCAACAUUUCAAAUCCAUCUGAGCCUUCCCAGCGUUCCAAAAGAAAUACUGAUUUGAAUUCAGCUGCUUAAAAAACCAGUCUCUAAGCAGACAGCUUGAAACUUCCUUACAGCAAUAGUUUAGGCUUUGGAGGGGAAAUUGGUUUGUUUUUAAUUGUUUUAAUUUUUCAUUCAAUUCAUUUGCCGCCUGAUUAUAUAUGAUCUUUUGAGCCCAAUACUCUGCUAAAUUAACCUUGACUUUCUUUCUCUCUUUCUCUCUCUCUCCUUCUCUCUUUCUUCCUUUCUUUCUUUCUUUUUGACAGAGCCUUGCUCUGUCGCCCAGGCUGGAAUGCAGUGGCACAAUCUCAGCUCACUGUAAACUCCGCCUCCAAAGUUCAAGCAAUUCUCCUGCCUCAGCCUCCUGUGUAGCUGGGAUUACACACGCCAGCCACCAUGCCUGGCUAAUUUUUGUAUUUUUAGUAAAGAUGGAGUUUCACCCUCUUGGCCAAGCUGGUCUCGAACUCCUGACCUCAACCUUGGCCUCUCAAAGUGCUGGGAUUACAAGCAUGAGCCACCAUGCCUGGCCUUACCUUGAUUUUUUUUUUUUGAGACAGAGUCUCACUCUGUUGCUCAGGCUGGAGUGUAGUGGCUCGAUCUUGGCUCACUGCAACCUCCAUCUCCCGGGUUCAAGAGAUUCUCCUGCCUCAGCCUCCCAAGUAGCUGGGACUACAGGUGUGGGCCACCACGCCUAGCUAAUUUUUUAUAUGUUUACUAGAGACAGGGUUUCACCAUGUUGGGCAGGCUGGUCUUGAACUCCUGACCUCAGGUGAUUCACCUGCCUCGGCCUCCCAAAAUGCUGGGAUUACAGGUGUGAGCCACCACACCCGGCCCCUACCUUUGAUUUUUAAGUCAAGAGGGAACAAGUCGAAAUUUCUAUUCAGGUAAACUGUAUACCUUUGGACACUGAAUCACUUUUAGAACCCCAGUAAAAAUCAUGUAUGAAUGACCCACAAUUUCACUCCAACAGGAAGGUGUGUAUAUGUGCACAAAAACAUUAGAUUGUUCACACCGGUGCUAUUCAUAAUAGUCAAAAACUGGAAACAACUCAAACAUCCAUCAACUGUAGAAUGGAUAAAUAAAUCAUGAUAUAUUCAUACCAUGGAACAUAACAGUGACAAUAAAUGAACCACUGCUACACACAACAGAUAUGAAUUUCACAAACAGAAUGCUGAGCAACAGAAGCCAAACACAGAAGGAUACACAUUUAUAAAUCCAUUUGUAUGAAGUUCAUAAACAGACAAAAUUAGUCAGUGGAGAUUAUUCUCAUAGAAGUCUGAAGGGUAGUUGUCUUUAGGGAGGGGGAUAUAGUGACUGAGGUGGGUAUAAGGGGUUUCUGGGGUUUGGUGAUGGUACACCAGCAUAUUCACUCUGAAAACUCAUUGAGCUGUGCAAUAAUGAUUUUUCAAACUUUUAUAUGUGUAUGAUAAUGCUUCAAUAAAGCUUUGCUUAAAAACACGCAUAGUCAUUGCUAUGGUGUGAAUGUUUGUGUGCCCCCGUUCACCAAAUUCAUAGGUUGAAAUCCUAACCCCCAAGGUGAUGAUAUUAGGAGU